rnacentral:lncRNA from 1 species
AGAUUGGGGGUUACAGUGGAAUAUUUCUCUCUUAUGGACAGAAAGGGCCUUGUCAAAACAAAAAAGCAAAAAACUCUCUGAAAUGGGAAAGAUUUCUAUAUUCUCCUUUUCCUAUCCAACUCUCUUAUGACUAGAAUGCCUUUGAAAUCCCUGUCAGUCACAGAGUUAAAUGUUCACCUCUUUCAUGUGUGUGAAAACUGGUUCUUUCAUUAGGGAACAUAUAAAGUAGGCCAAUUAGUAUAUUUACAGCACUGAGUUUUAUCAUUAUCAUUAUUAUAAAAGCCUUCCUAUCCAGAGUUUGAUGUUUAUUGGAACCAUUUUCAGUAUCUUCAAGGUCUCUGCCUUUAGUACAUCACUACAAAAAGACUUCCUCUACUUGGUAGUGAUUGGUAAUUUUCUUCACAUGUAUGGAGGUGGCCCAAUACAUGGUUGGACUAUCAUGCAGAAAACUGAUAUGUCAGUUUGUGGUUGUUGAUUCAGCUUUGUAAUACUAAAACCCUUGGUGGCUUUAUUUCUAUAUGUAAUUGAGAUUGUCACGUGGCCUGCCUAUAUUCAUAUAUCAUUUUUCAGCUCACUCAAAUCAUUCUAACAAAUGUUUAUUUAUUGCUUCAUUCUCUCCUGAUCCUAGAGCAGAUUGGGACAUCCAUCCAAUGUUUCAGCACAUUCCUGAGUUACCACUGUGAUGGAGUGUUCUUGGAAGACUCUCCAGUUUCUUACUUCUCAGGACAUUGGCUGUUUUCCAAAGAAUGUACCUUUGGAGACAGUCAUUAUCACUCCUGGGUUUUGCCAGUUUAAUUUUGCUAUAUUCAGAAAUCACACUAGAAGCACUCUCUGCCUCAACCAGGCUUCUGGGUUGUUCUGCUUUCGGAUAUUGUCGGAUGCAACAGAACAUCGAGUUAAGGAACACUGAGGAGUGCUGAGAUUAGAGAAGUGUUAUCCUAGAGAACAAAGCUAUUAAAUUCUCCAAACCUGAGUUAAAAGAAUACCUAGUACCACACUUAAUUCCUGGUGUGAGCAGAAUUAAACUUAUUUGAUAAUCUUUGACAAGAUCAUAAAUGAGGGAGCAGAAGAGUUAGGGGACUGAUGUUCAUGAAGAGAGGAGAAUGGAGGAAGGUACUCAACUGGUCCCUUUCCCUUGGUCAAAUGGAAUUUGGGAUUAAUGAGCAAAUAAAAACAUUCACGAAGUUUGUUAGUAUCUCCUC